GUUGUGGCUGCUGCUAGUUCUGGGUAUAUCACGUGACAUACACUAACGUUCUAUACAAGAGCGCGUGGCGAGGGGAUCUGCGGCCAUUUGGAUUGAGGCGGCACAGACUGUGGACUGUGUGUAGGUCGGUGCAGGUUCUCGGUGGAAGAACCAGGCCAUCUUAAUGCCUGGACAAACGGUGUUCCAAGCUCUGUGUGUUUUCAAGACCGUUGUCAAUUAUGGUGUUCUUCCUACUUUUGAUCUUAACAGAUAUGAAAAACCACUUGGUGACAAGUGCUCGACUGAAGCCAGGAUGAUGUGAAUAAUCUGAGCAUGGAUUUAAGACAGGAGUUCUUCAAACUAGGUGAAAUACCUAAUCGUUCCACUAAGCUGUAUUUGCUAGCUUGAUGGCAUCCACAUGAAGCAUUUACAGGAUCAAUCCCAUGUUAAAAGGUUAGAUGGUCAAGGCUAAUCAAGUGACAUCUGCGUUCAUUUACAGGAAGGAUUCUGAAAUAGAGGUUUUGCAAUAGCUUGAAAUAUACUGUUUAAAAUGCAUUUAAAUCUGCUGUGGCUCAUGAGAUGGUGACUUAACUUUUUUUUUGUCUUGUAUACUAAUUGUAUCAAGUAUUAUUUUUAUGC